CACCGGCCAAUAGGAUUGCGACAUGUAUGAAAUGUAUCUUUCUUCCAAUGGAUCUUACUUCAUGGAAUCAACUCUAUCCCUCUCCUCUCUCUCUCCUCUCGAUUCUCUUCUCUUCCUCUCCCCUCCCCUCCCCUCCCGAUUCUCCUCUCUUUCCUUUUUUUUUUUUUUUUCCUACAUACGCCUGUAUUUUUUUCUAAAUUACUUUGGGUUCUCCACCGACAAGAACCAUGAAGGGUAGAUGCUGGUAAUUAACUGUUUCUGGGAGAUAAAAGAAACAAGUGGAGAUAAGCUUUUUGCUGCAAGUUCUUUGUGACUUUGAAAGUUCUUUGUUGAUCCAUUCAACUUUAGGGAAGAAAUCUGCAGUGGCUCCACCAUCACAGAAAUGGCUGACAUUAAAUGGUAAAUAUUAUUUUUUUACUAAUUAAAGUUUAUCUAUUUUGGGAGCUAUAUUGAAAAGAAAGGUACAUUCUAAUUUUAAGAAAGAAGAAAGGAUGGAUAAUUUUGUAUGAAUGGGAUCAAAGUAGUAAGUUCCAAGAUCCGGAAUUAUUUCAAAGGAAGUACUUUUCCAACUACAGAAAUUUAUUUUAGAAGCUCAAAUUCAUCACUAGCAAUGGAUUUAAUCUUUUAGUUCAGUA